rnacentral:rRNA from 1 species
UACGUAGGGGGCUAGCGUUGUCCGGAAUCAUUGGGCGUAAAGAGCGUGUAGGCGGCCCGGUAAGUCCGCUGUGAAAGUCGGGGGCUCAACCCUCGAAUGCCGGUGGACACUGUCGGGCUAGAGUGCGGAAGAGGCGAGUGGAAUUCCUGGUGUAGCGGUGAAAUGCGCAGAUAUCAGGAAGAACACCCGUGGCGAAGGCGGCUCUCUGGGACGGUACUGACGCUGAGACGCGAAAGCGUGGGGAGCGAACAGG